GCACUUCUUACCAAGUUCGCUUGGUCAGAGGCCAGUACACCGGCGAAUGUUCGGUGCUGGUUGCUCAUGGGUGGAACGUUGACUAUUCGGCACGAUGAGCGCGGCUUCGUUAGUACUGCUCUCCCGGGGAAGAAAGGAACGGGUGGAUUGUGCCGGGCAGGUUGUUGGUUAUCUAACUGUGAGGACUCGUUCGAGUCUGUCUUUCCUUUGCCGGCCCCACCCAACUCGUCCCUUUCUUACGGAGAGAGGGAUGGGUGGUCGUUGUUUGAGAAAGACCCGCGGGACGCGAGCGCGUGUGUCUGAGUUUUUUUUUGCGGGCGCUGGAUGCCUUGGCUCCGGCAACCAAUCAAGGACGUGGGAGGCCGGCAUAAAUAAAAACGCCCCCUCUUAGUUUUUUCCCAUGGGGUGAAAUGUGACCUCCUAACUCC
rnacentral:misc_RNA from 1 species